ACUGCCCACAUUGGUAAUUAAUUUUUGACAAACUCAACACUAUUAUAAUUAGAAAGGGUGAGUUUAGGUUGUAAAAGCAGGCCCUACUUGUAUAGGGAUCCUUGAUCAGUCUGUUAGCCCUAAACCUGUAUUUUGGAGUUUGUACAAAACUUCUUCCGAUGUGGGCUUUU
rnacentral:tmRNA from 1 species